rfam:Nematostella vectensis strain CH2 x CH6 NEMVEscaffold_3738_Cont46083, whole genome shotgun sequence.
GUUGCGGUGGCCGAGUUCAUAAGGCGUUGGACUCGAAAUCCGAUGGGAUCUUCCCGCGCAGGUUCGAAUCCUGCCCGCAACG